rnacentral:rRNA from 1 species
GUGCCAGCCGCCGCGGUAAUACGUAGGGUGCGAGCGUUAAUCGGAAUUACUGGGCGUAAAGCGUGCGCAGGCGGUCUCGUAAGACAGGUGUGAAAUCCCCGGGCUUAACCUGGGAACUGCGCUUGUGACUGCGAGGCUGGAGUGCGGAAGAGGGAGGUGGAAUUCCACGUGUAGCAGUGAAAUGCGUAGAGAUGUGGAGGAACACCGAUGGCGAAGGCAGCCUCCUGGUCCAGCACUGACGCUCAUGCACGAAAGCGUGGGGAGCAAACAGGAUUAGAUACCCUGGUAGUCC